UGGCCAAGUGUCUGUCUAUUUAGUUGGGAAAUACUUUUCAAAUGUUUAAGCUUGAGAUAAAUAAAGUUUAAUUUUUUAUAAACGUUUGCCCAAUGCUUAGAACGUGAACAAAUAUUUUCUUUUUAAAUAUGCCGAGCAUUCCUUUGAUCUAUGUCGCAACUGCUCCUUGGCUUCUGGCCAGCCCUGUUCCCCCACCCGCGGGAAUCACAAACUAGAAGAAGAAGAAGCGUGGAAUGAUGAGUGGAGACCGCAGUUGACUUGUUAAAAGGCUAGCGGCCAGAAAAAGUGGGCACAGAAGUUGUUUUUUUCUUUCCAAAAUAUAUACCGAUAAUGCGUAAAAUUCCAUUAAAUCGGGUGUAAUUAAAUGACAUUUACUUUAGCCACAUUAAAAAGAACAUAAAUCAGCGACUACUGCAGCAAAGCAUAUUUGGCUUGCGGCCCUCGGACCAGCUUCCAGCUUCCGGCUCCUGGACCAGGACCUGGCCCUGGCCCUGAACCAGGUUCGGGUGGGGUGGGGAGGUCCGCUAAAAGUUUCGCCCUCGUUUGCGUACAAAAAAGCCAAAACAAAUAUGGGGUGAAUUGCUUUGCCGCAUGCCGUCGCGGCGGACUUAAAUGGAUACAGAGACGACGUCAAGGCGGAAUCUGUAAAGAAACCUAAUUUAUUGAAAAAUUGUUGCUCGGGUGUUAUAAAGACAACAUUCUACUACUUAAUGUCCGUCGCACCAUUCCCGGUGGCAGUUACGAUGCCCCACACCAACCCCAACCCAACAACAUAGCUCGCGACCAAACGCGCUUCGGUAUAAUGUAUAAGAAUGGAAAAACGAAAAAAAUAUGCUGCAUCAAAGAACAAGUUUUGUCCAUAGCUUUCGCCCAGAACUGGGAACUGUCUAAAAGCCGCAAAAUCUUACAUUAAC